AAUGGUAACAGGAAACAGCUUGCUGUUUCGCUGACGAGUGGCGGACGGGUGAGUAAUGUCUGGGAAACUGCCUGAUGGAGGGGGAUAACUACUGGAAACGGUAGCUAAUACCGCAUAACGUCGCAAGACCAAAGAGGGGGACCUUCGGGCCUCUUGCCAUCAGAUGUGCCCAGAUGGGAUUAGCUAGUAGGUGGGGUAACGGCUCACCUAGGCGACGAUCCCUAGCUGGUCUGAGAGGAUGACCAGCCACACUGGAACUGAGACACGGUCAAGACUCCUACGGGAGGCAGCAGUGGGGAAUAUUGCACAAUGGGCGCAAGCCUGAUGCAGCCAUGCCGCGUGUAUGAAGAAGGCCUUCGGGUUGUAAAGUACUUUCAGCGGGGAGGAAGGGAGUAAAGUUAAUACCUUUGCUCAUUGACGUUACCCGCAGAAGAAGCACCGGCUAACUCCGUGCCAGCAGCCGCGGUAAUACGGAGGGUGCAAGCGUUAAUCGGAAUUGCUGGGCGUAAAGCGCACGCAGGCGGUUUGUUAAGUCAGAUGUGAAAUCCCCGGGCUCAACCUGGGAACUGCAUCUGAUACUGGCAAGCUUGAGUCUCGUAGAGGGGGGUAGAAUUCCAGGUGUAGCGGUGAAAU
rnacentral:rRNA from 1 species